UUAGAGUUUUGAUUCUGGCUCAGGACGAACGCUGGCGGCGUGCCUAAUACAUGCAAGUCGAGCGGACAGAAGGGAGCUUGCUCCCGGAUGUUAGCGGCGGACGGGUGAGUAACACGUGGGUAACCUGCCUGUAAGACUGGGAUAACUCCGGGAAACCGGAGCUAAUACCGGAUAGUUCCUUGAACCGCAUGGUUCAAGGAUGAAAGACGGUUUCGGCUGUCACUUACAGAUGGACCCGCGGCGCAUUAGCUAGUUGGUGGGGUAAUGGCUCACCAAGGCGACGAUGCGUAGCCGACCUGAGAGGGUGAUCGGCCACACUGGGACUGAGACACGGCCCAGACUCCUACGGGAGGCAGCAGUAGGGAAUCUUCCGCAAUGGACGAAAGUCUGACGGAGCAACGCCGCGUGAGUGAUGAAGGUUUUCGGAUCGUAAAGCUCUGUUGUUAGGGAAGAACAAGUGCGAGAGUAACUGCUCGCACCUUGACGGUACCUAACCAGAAAGCCACGGCUAACUACGUGCCAGCAGCCGCGGUAAUACGUAGGUGGCAAGCGUUGUCCGGAAUUAUUGGGCGUAAAGGGCUCGCAGGCGGUUUCUUAAGUCUGAUGUGAAAGCCCCCGGCUCAACCGGGGAGGGUCAUUGGAAACUGGGAAACUUGAGUGCAGAAGAGGAGAGUGGAAUUCCACGUGUAGCGGUGAAAUGCGUAGAGAUGUGGAGGAACACCAGUGGCGAAGGCGACUCUCUGGUCUGUAACUGACGCUGAGGAGCGAAAGCGUGGGGAGCGAACAGGAUUAGAUACCCUGGUAGUCCACGCCGUAAACGAUGAGUGCUAAGUGUUAGGGGGUUUCCGCCCCUUAGUGCUGCAGCUAACGCAUUAAGCACUCCCG
rnacentral:rRNA from 1 species